UACGUAGGGUGCGAGCGUUGUCCGGAAUUAUUGGGCGUAAAGAGCGUGUAGGCGGUCCGGUAAGUCAGCUGUGGAAGUCAAGGGCUCCACCCUUGAAUGCCGGUUGAUACUGUCGGGCUAGAGUCCGGAAGAGGCGAGUGGAAUUCCCGGUGUAGCGGUGAAAUGCGCAGAUAUCGGGAGGAACACCAAUGGCGAAGGCAGCUCGCUGGGACGGUACUGACGCUGAGACGCGAAAGCGUGGGGAGCAAACAGG
rnacentral:rRNA from 1 species